UGUCGACGAGUCAAUCGGUCGUGCAGCAAGCUCUCCAUCGACGACCGGGGAGGCGCGGGAGGGCAGAUACCGACACGUUUCGGAGCAGCUAAAAGAAGGUGUUGGUGCCACCAUAAGAGACGGUCUUUUUGUUGGGAUGACGAGCACUGAAGAGUUUGUAUCUUCGAACUUACCAUGGAGCUUUUUCCAAUGAGGUGCUCCAUGGCGAUUCUUGGAGAUACGGAGGAGGAAGAAGAGCUAGAUUAG